AAAAAAAAAAAAAAAAAAAAUCCAUCCAAGAGGCAGAGCUUUAAAACAGAAUCCCCUAAUGUGAAACAUAGCCAUCUCUUUAAUCUGAUGUAGUAGAGAUUACCUCAUACUUCCUCCCUAUAAAUAUUAAUCUUAUCUAUUAUCGUACUAUUGAACAUUUAUUAUAAUAUUUACAUUUAUAAUACACUCAUUUUAUGGAUAUAUUAUACAUUAGAUACUUCAUUUUAAUAUAUUUGAAAAUUUAAAAAUAUUGAUCAAAAUUAAUAUUUCAUCAAAAAGGUCAAUUUUUUUUUUUGGUUUUAAGUUUCAAUUUGAAUUUAAUUGCUGAAAUUGGAGUUAAUAGUAAAGAUUGCAGAUACAAAUAAAAAAGAUUUGCUAAAAUUAACAAUAUGUGAAAGGUCAAAACUUUUUUGGUCCUUUUUUUUAUUACCUGGUGCAAAAUAAAAUUGGUGGUAAACAAAUAAUUUUAGUUAUUCUUGUUUAAAUCCAAUAUUGGUUUUGGGUAAUGGCAAGAUAUUAAAAAAAUCAUUUGCAGUAGUUACUUUGAUAUCUUCUCCUAUUUGCAGUGCUUUUGUCCCUUUCGUUUUUGUCUUUGCCUCCUUGUGCAUCUUUCAUUCUUUAACAUUGCCAUUAUAAAGUCACAAUUUCUAAGUGCUAAUCUUGGUUUCCUUCCUUUAUCAAAUUCCUGAUUUUAGAGUUAAUCACAAUCAGAAUAUAUUUAUUUUAAUUUAUUACGAAAAUUUUAAUGUUUUAUAGGAAAAAACUUCAGUUUAAUAUAAUAUAAAAAUUGCAGUAAG
rnacentral:misc_RNA from 1 species